UACGAAGGGGGCUAGCGUUGCUCGGAAUUACUGGGCGUAAAGCGCACGUAGGCGGCUUUCUAAGUCGGGGGUGAAAUCCUGGAGCUCAACUCCAGAACUGCCUUCGAUACUGGAGAGCUCGAGUCCGGGAGAGGUGAGUGGAACUGCGAGUGUAGAGGUGAAAUUCGUAGGUAUUCGCAAGAACACCAGUGGCGAAGGCGGCUCACUGGCCCGGUACUGACGCUGAGGUGCGAAAGCGUGGGGAGCAAACAGG
rnacentral:rRNA from 1 species